GGGUCUGUAGCUCAGCUGGUUAGAGCGCUCGCCUGAUAAGCGGGAGGUCCCUGGUUCGAAUCCAGGCAGGCCCA
rnacentral:tRNA from 1 species